rnacentral:pre_miRNA from 1 species
GAGACACCCAUAUAGAAUAGGACUUGCUUCAGUGGGGCUUUGGUGCUCACUGAGUCUGCCCCUUGAGUGUGUUGCU